GGCCUGGUAGCCAAGUGGUAAGGCAGAGCUCUGCAAAAGCUCUAUUCGCCGGUUCGAUUCCGGCCCAGGCCUCCC
rnacentral:tRNA from 1 species